rnacentral:rRNA from 1 species
UACGUAGGGGGCGAGCGUUGUCCGGAUUUAUUGGGCGUAAAGAGCUCGUAGGCGGUUUGGUAAGUCGGGUGUGAAAUCUCCACGCUCAACGUGGAGGGGCCACUCGAUACUGCCAUGACUCGAGUCCGGUAGAGGAGUGUGGAAUUCCCGGUGUAGCGGUGAAAUGCGCAGAUAUCGGGAGGAACACCAGUGGCGAAGGCGGCGAUCUGGGAAGAUACUGACGCUGAGGUGCGAAAGCGUGGGGAGCAAACAGG